rnacentral:lncRNA from 1 species
AACUAAAGAAGGAUUUUACAUUAGGUCGGGCAUCACUGUAAUACUGAGUAAUGCAAUACAUUAGGUCGGGCAUCACUGUUAUACUGAGGAAUGCAAUACAUUAGGUUGGGCAUCACUGUUAUACUGAGGAAUGCAAUACAUUAUAUGAAAACACUUCAAAUUAACCGGUCGAUCUCUAGAGUUUAUAUAUAAACAUGGUAUUUCUAAAUUCUUAGAUGCAAACUCAUGGCAUAAUCAAUUAUUGAUAUGUUAAUUAUGUUUUCCAACUAGUAGUUUGCCUUGACUCCCUCUUGUUUAGUUUUGAAAGGAAAACAUAGGAUGUUCUUGUUUCCAGAGACAGGAGAUAAUUAGGUUGUUGUUUAUAAUGGAUCAAACCUAGUUAAAAACCUUGGCUUAUAUGUGUAAAGUCCAGCUUUUUAACUUUAUAUUCACUAACCAAAAAGUGCUCUAACAGUUACUACUCCAUGGUUGUUUGAGUUAUUACAAGACAUAUUAGUGAAACUUGUUCAUUUUGCCCAUACCUUAUGAUUUGUUUGUCUUGUAUUUGGUGUUUGAGAAUUGAUUUCUAUAGUACAAUUAACACAUUUUUCAUUUGUCUAGGAUUUAAAUAAAAAGAUACACGGUUUUUUCAUCUGUCUAGGAUUUAAGUAAAAAGAUACGCGGGUUUUUCAUCUGUCUAAGACCCCUUCUUUUCAGUUUUUGCAACAAUGAGUUUUCUUUGGAAUGUAAUGAUGGAAUCGUAUUAUACUAGUAUAUUUUAUGAAUAUGAUGUAGUAUAUGCUUGCAGGAGACUCAACAACAAGAAGCUGAC